rnacentral:tRNA from 2 species
GCCGAAGUGGUGAAAUUGGUAGACACAGGAGACUCAAAAUCUCCCGCCGCAAGGUGUCCCGGUUCGAGUCCGGGCUUCGGCACCA